CCGACGGUGAGAGGCGAAAGCUGGGGGAGCAAACCGGAUUGGAUACCCGGGUAGUCCCAGCCGUAAACGAUGCUCGCUAGGUGUCUGGGAUGGUGCGACCGUUUCAGGUGCCGCAGGGAAGCCGUGAAGCGAGCCACCUGGGAAGUACGGCCGCAAGGCUGAAACUUAAAGGAAUUGGCGGGGGAGCACUACAACGGGUGGAGCCUGCGGUUUAAUUGGACUCAACGCCGGAAAACUCACCUGGGGC
rnacentral:rRNA from 1 species